GACGAACGCUGGCGGCGUGCCUAAUACAUGCAAGUAGAACGCUGAAGAGAGGAGCUUGCUCUUCUUGGAUGAGUUGCGAACGGGUGAGUAACGCGUAGGUAACCUGCCUGGUAGCGGGGGAUAACUAUUGGAAACGAUAGCUAAUACCGCAUAAUAGUAGAUGUUGCAUGACAUUUGCUUAAAAGGUGCAAUUGCAUCACUACCAGAUGGACCUGCGUUGUAUUAGCUAGUUGGUGAGGUAACGGCUCACCAAGGCAACGAUACAUAGCCGACCUGAGAGGGUGAUCGGCCACACUGGGACUGAGACACGGCCCAGACUCCUACGGGAGGCAGCAGUAGGGAAUCUUCGGCAAUGGACGGAAGUCUGACCGAGCAACGCCGCGUGAGUGAAGAGGGUUUUCGGAUCGUAAAGCUCUGUUGUAAGAGAAGAACGAGUGUGAGAGUGGAAAGUUCACACUGUGACGGUAUCUUACCAGAAAGGGACGGCUAACUACGUGC
rnacentral:rRNA from 1 species